rnacentral:lncRNA from 1 species
UUAUUAUUGUGCGCCACGAGCCUUAAGUGGUGGAGAAUGAGUGAUAAUGGAGCAUUCCUACCCUUACUCUGAUUAUUUUGGAUGCAAGACACUUGGCUUGUUUUCUGGAAUAAUCACCUCCGCCCAUAGACUUUAGUACAAUAUAAUCACAAACAUUCUUUCAUAAAACCCUUGUUCAAGGUAAAAAUAAUACAACUCAUCAAACUCAUUUUUGUGCCUUAGGG